UACAGAGGGGGCAAGCGUUAUUCGGAAUUAUUGGGCGUAAAGGGCGCGUAGGCGGCUUUGCAAGUGACGGGUGAAAGCCCUCGGCUUAACCGAGGAACUGCCUGUCAGACUGUAAGGCUUGAGACCGGGAGAGGUGAGUGGAAUUCCCAGUGUAGCGGUGAAAUGCGUAGAUAUCUGGAGGAACACCGGUGGCGAAGGCGGCAUCCUGGACCAACACUGACACUGAGGAGCGAAAGCCAGGGGAGCAAACGGG
rnacentral:rRNA from 1 species